UCCUCGAUAGCUCAACGGUGAGAGCGUCGGACUAGUAAUUCGGAGGUUGCGGGUUCGAGCCCCGCUCGGGGAG